CGGCUACACUGCGGGCGCGAAACCAUGGUUAGGAUGGGGCACUUUAGACCCCCUGAAGUGCUUCCAGCCUCGUCAUGGUGAAGCUGAGAAGUACCGUCAGAACUCGAUCAAGAUAAUACUUGCGUGAGGAACGUGCUGCCGCUACUCC
rnacentral:ncRNA from 1 species